AGGUGACUUCAAUUUCUCCCUUGAAAUAUGUCUGUAUUCAUGAAGAUCCUUUUUCUUAAAUAAGCAAGGACUCCAAACAGGAAGAGUCAACAAAGUUCAUUGUUUAGUAACCAAAUAGCUGGAGGACCCAUGAAUCUGGGGAGCUGCUUCGACGACUGUUUUAAAAGAUCUUUAUUUGCAUCCAUCUCUCUGUCUCUCUCCUUAGGUUACAACCUGCUGGGAGGAUCCACGCACCCAAUUAACACCCCUCAUCUCUGAGUGGCCGCAUCACCUGUUAGGCUCGUGUUCCUCUCGUCAUCUACACGUGUCUCCAUCAUGGGAGCAUUCUUUUGCAAGAGCAACGUGUUCCUCUCUCAAUAGUUAGGAAGAAAUAAAUCAAGACGGCGGUCAGGCAGGAGAGACCUGCCAGUCACUGUGAUUCCUUCGGCUCCAGCACAUCCGCAUCCACCUAGGCGGUGUGGACACCGCCUGCAGCAGCCCCGGCCCCACGCAAGGAGCGCUGGCUCCCUAGCAGGUCCUUGGCAAAGGGCGGGAGGGAGGUGACGGGGAGGAGGGAGCGCCUGCUGUCCGGAUGCCAACUCUCACCUAGGGAGGGAGCAAUUAAAGUUUUCAUAACCUCAGGCAUAAGAAUGAUGCAAACUUGUAACAUCAUUUGGGAGUGUAUUUAUUUAAACUUCUUUUCCCUCUAAGUAGUUUUGCGACUGUUGAACGGUAAAUUUCCGGUUUUAUUGUAUCAGCACAUUUAUCAUUUACUUUCUUGCUGGCAGAGACCCAGCAAGGGGGACAAAAUUGGUUCUCCUUUGCACCUGGCCUUAGGCGGGACUCCCCUCGGACUUUCUCACGCCCGCCUCUCCCCGCCCCUUCUCGCACCCGGGACCUUCUGAGGCUGUCCCACCCCUCCGCUGGGCGGGGCUGGGGGUGUGGAUACUUGAUUUCUCUGACUCCCCGCGCUGCGGGAGUCUUUCAACUCUCACCCGCUCCCGGGAACAAUGAAGUGAAGUUCAGGUUUGAGGGCAAGUGAUGGCUCCCUAUUCCGGGUCAGAGGUGCGGCGGUGGUCCCGAGGUGUCAAGACUGAACGACCGGGUGCGACUGGGUCUUUGCCGACGGCGUGUUGCCUCCGCCAGGAAACGUGAAGACAGAAUCCUCUCCAAUAUGAGUGAAGAUGGAAGCCAGCAAGACAGAACACCCAACUAAAGGCCUACACCUCGAGGUUCAGGACCAAGAGGACUUAACCACCAUGACCCAAAGCCACUGAGGAGAGGCACGAAAUAGACUCUUGUAGGUACCUCACUCAAAUCCAUGGCGGUGCUGGAGAUGGCGACUGGUCACUUUGGACGUCACUCCUGACACCAUGUAAUAUUGAAAGGCAGAACUGCAAUCUGCAAAAUAAAAUUUGUACGUUUAUUGGGGGUCUUGGGAUUUGCAAUCUGGGAGACAGAGUCAACUGAAAUCAAAAGUGUGCUCUGGGGCGCCUGGGUGGCUCAGUUGGUUAAGCAACUGCCUUCGGCUCAGGUCAUGAUCCUGGAGUCCCGGGAUCGAGUCCCGCAUCAGGCUCCCUGCUUGGCGGGGAGUCUGCUUCUCCCUCUGACCUUCCUCCCUCUCAUGCUCUCUGUCUCUCAUUCUUUCUCUCUCAAAUAAAUAAAUAAAAUCUUGGGGGGGGAAAAAAAAAGUGUGCUCUGGAGAGACAAAGCUGAGGGUUUUUAAGGAGGAAAGAGGGCAUUUACAUAAGUUGUUUUGAAUGAAAUGUGACUGGUUGUUAAGAGUAGUGCUAGGUGUAAAGUCCAUUUAUGUUCAAUUCUUUUUUAAAGAUUUUAUUUAUUUUAGAGAGAGCAUAUGCCUGCAUGUGAGCAAGGGGAGGGAGGGUCAGAGCGAGAGAGAGAAUCUUAAGCAGGCUCCACGCCCCCAAUGCAGGGUUUGAUCUCAUGACCCUGAGACCAUGACCUGAGCUGAAAUCAAGAGCCAGACACUUAACUGACGGAGCCACCCAGGCACCCCCAUUUAUGUUCAAUUCGAACAUGCAGCAGAUGCCUUGGCUUUUAGCUGAAGUCAGCACCAAUUCUGAGAGUUUGAGACAGGAAACAUAGGUCCCACUUUUUCAGUGUCCUCCUGGCUCCAUUUUAAAUUACCCUCUUAGCAAUGUUUGCUCCAUUUUAUUCUGUUAUCAAAUGGAAGAACUUUCUUCCAGUGACUAUCUGGAUUCCUUCUCUUAUUCUGAGUCCUUUUAAGAGGCAAUAUAAAGUCAGAUCUGUAUCUCUGAAACAAAUAAUGCAAUAUAUGUUAAGAAAAAAAAAAAAGAAGAAGAAGAAGGUAGCAGGAGGGGAAGAAUGAAGCGGGGGAAAUCGGAGGGGUAGACGAACCAUGAGAGACGAUGGACUCUGAAAAACAAACUGAGGGUUCUAGAGGGGAGGGGGUUGGGAGGAUGGGUUAGCCUGGUGGUGGGUAUUGAGGGCACAUUCUGCAUGGAGCACUGGGUGUUAUGCACAAACAAUGAAUCAUGGAACACUACAUCUAAAACUAAUGAUGUAAUGUAUGGGGAUUAACAUAAGAAUAAAAAAAAAAGAGGCAAUAUAAAGUAGUAAUAAAAUGAUAAUGAAUUCGUUGUAAGAUCUGAGCUCAACUUUGCCACCAAUUGGUUGUGGUUUUAAGUCAUUUAUAUUUCUUGGAUCGUAGCUUCAUCACUAAGAAGAGAGGAUAAGAUUAGUGGACUUCCAAGAAGACCUCUUUCCGCUCACAUAGGACUGGUGUGGUUAAUUUUUAAAUUACAAGUAGGUUAUGCGCCUCUCCGCAAAUGUAGCUAUAAACCUUUUACAGAAGGAAAUAGUGGACGGUGUCCUUGUUUGGGCACUAUGCUCAAAAAGCACAUGAGAAGUUAAUUUUAGAGGAGGGGAAAUGGGAAUAUGGAUUCAGAGAAAUCUUUUUUUUUUUUAAUUUAUUCAUUUGUCAGAGAGAAAGAGAGCACAGGCAGAGGGAGAAGCAGGCUCCCUGCUGAGCAAGAAGCCCGAUGCAGGACUCAAUCCCAGGACCCUGGGAUCACGACCCAAGCUGAAGGCAGACACCUAAGCAACUGAGCCACCCAGGCGAUCCGGAUUCAGAGGAAUCUUAACAUGGAUAGCAGUGAAGCUGCUGACCAAGGUCACAUCUUCUCAGUGAACCCAGAAACAAGAAGUGAGAAAUGGUUUUUUACCUUAAGUCAGGGGUGUAUUUCAUCUUGCUACCACGACGGCCACCAGCCCUGCCUCCACAGAGAACUGUCAUGAAAAUAAUCAGGAACUCUGAACUUCUGAGUGUCUGAGACUUCAGCAAGCAAAUAAUCCUCCAUUUAACAUGUAUUAUUAUUUAAGGCCUUCCUGAAACUGUACAUUCAUAGUGGUGAUAAAUGCACAGAAGUGAAUUCAGAACCUGACCACAAGUUCAAGAUGAGCUUCAAGGAAUAAAAAUUCAAAGACCUUGGAACAGAAUUCCAGCAACAUCAGACCAAGGUAAUGAAGCUACAUAGACUUUUUGUCCUGUCACACUGAGUUCAAUGGUAGAGAAUAAUCUAGGGGCGCCGGGGUGGCUCAGUUGGUUAAGCAUCUAUCUGACUCUUGGUUUUAGCUCAGGUCAUGAUCUCAGGGUCCUGGGAUCCAGGCCAGUAGGGCUCUGCACUUAGCAGGGAGUCUGCUUGAGGUUCUUUCUCUCCCUCAGUGUCAUCUUCUCCCUCCCUCCAGCUCGUGCACACUCUGUCUCAAAUAAAUAAAAGAAAAUGAUCUUGUCAGAUGGAAGGAAAAUGUGACCACAACCAGACUUGCAAUUACGCAUUUUAGUUUCAAUAACUCUACAAAUAAGAUUUUUCAAAACAACGUAUCUUUUUCAGGUGGGGAAAAAGCUCAUUAAAUUGGCCUGGAUAUUGCUGAGAGGAAAUUUUCAUGAUGAUUUGAAAAAUUGGGUCCAUGGUUAAUUCCUUGCAAAAAGAAAAUCCUCAAUAAUUUUAAUAAUUCCAGAAGCUUUUUACAACUCUUUAAACCUCAACUACCAUCAUGUCAAAAAAGGAAAUGUAGGUGGAUAUAUAAAGUUAUCUAUGCCAAAAUAUCCCAUUACACUUAAAAUCUUUAUUAGGAGGUCUAAGCUUUAGAACUGAUUAAAUCCAAGACAUUGCAUCAGUCACUUAAAUUCCUAGUUUGGUAACUCUUUUUAAGUAGUGAGAUCAAACUAGUUUUCCUAACUACAUUACAUUAUGGACUCCUAAUGACGAUCAAAAGUGAGGAAAAAUUUUUGAUAAGCAUGGUUCCUAUGCAAAUGGAUAUUACUUAUUUUUAGUUAUUGGUAUUAGAAAACAGCUCAGUCCCCACUGCUGUAAGACGGACUCUUGGCGCUCUGCUCCCUUAGGGAUCAACCCAUGACCUUGUAUUAUCCAUAUGUGAACCAACUAGUCUAACAGUCCCAGCCGGAUAGAGGAAUUCCCUUUUGCAUAGGUUUAUCAUGAAAUCUAGGUUUUCAUUAUUUUGCAGUACUAUUUCACAAGGCUUUUGAUGAGGAGGCCAGCUCUCCUAGUAUCAGAGUGUUAGCGGAAGUAGUCACUGUGUAGUGUUUAAAGUGCUCAUCGAAUAUCUAUACAAGUCCUUUGCAUGUACUGUCACUGAAUGCUGAUAAAUUGAUAUGCAGUAUAUAAUCUGUAAAGUCACAAGUGUCUAUUGCUGUGCACUCUGGGCUGCAUAUUCUAUUAAAAGUAUUUAAACAUUGAAUUAUUUAUAUUAUAGGAACAUGGACUUGGAGGUUGCUCAUAAAUUCCAGGACCUCCCUGCCACCGGCUCUCCCAGCACCACCUCUACCCCUAGGAAUUGCUCCUCCUCCUCCAACUCCUUUACCUCUACUAACUGGUAUAUUAUUUUUUUUUUAAGAUUUUAUUUAUUUAUUUGACAGAGAGAUCGCGAGAGCAGGAACACAAGCAGGGAGAGCGGGAGAGGGAGAAGCAGGCUUCCCCGCGGAGCAGGGAGCCCGAAGCGGGGCUCGAUCCCAGGACCCUGGGAUCAUGACCUGAGCCAAAGGCAGACGCUUAACAACUGAGCCCACCCAGGAGCCCCUACUAACUGGCAUAUUAUAUCCACUAUUACCUUUGUUCAGGGAUGUCCUGCUCCAUAUUCAUACUGUCUGCUCUAAAUUAUGAAACAAAGCAGAAAUAAAUAUAUAAACCUGAACUCCAUGUAUUGAUUCUUGAAUAGCAGCACUAGAUUCUCCAGACUGGAGUCUAAUAAUCAAAGGCAAAAACCCUGACUAGAGGUUUUUCCACAAAGUCAAAUGAUCAAAGGGCAUCUUCUAGGCACUGGUUGUCAUUAAUGUGCAAGUAACUGCAUAGCUGUGUACAAGUAUGGUAUGAUGUUAAGAGAAUAUGAUUGCUGACUCUUUCCCUUUGUGAACUCACCAUCUUACGUUUCUUUUUCAGUACAGUAUCUAAAUAAUUGGAAAUGCAAUAGGGAACAUGAAAUUCGUGUAGAAGGUAAAAAGGAAUUAAAGUGGUGUAAGGAUAAUUGUAUUAGUUUCUUAGGGCUGCCACAACAAAUUACCACAAACUGAGUGGUUUGUAACAACAAAAAUUUCUCUCUCACAGUUCUGGGGGGCAGAAGAAUUGAGGUGUUGGUAGGGCCACAUUCCCUAGAAGCUACAGGAGACAAUUUCUUCCUUGCCUUUUCCACCUUCCAGAACUUUUGGCAUCCCUUGGUUCAUGGCCAUAUAUCUCUGUUCUAUCUUCACAUUGCCUUUUCUUUCUAGUGUCUGUGUGUAAGCUUCCAUCGACCAGAAGUAGAUACAUGUGGUUGCAUUUAUGGCCAACACUACCAUGUUUGCAUGUUGAUCUUAUAUUCUGCACCUUUGAAAAAUUCAUUAUCAGGAUUUGACAUGGUGACCUACAGUAUUAUCAAGUGUACAUUUGAGUGACAAAACAAACCAAUUAAAAGUCAUGGGUCAGGGGCGCCUGGGUGGCUCAGUUGUUGGGCGUCUGCCUUCGGCUCAGGUCAUGAUCCCAGGUCCUGGAAUCAAGCCCCGCAUCGGGCUCCCUGCUCAAUGGGUAGUCUGCUUCUCCCUCUCCCACUCCCCAGGCUUGUGUUCCCUCUCUCGCUGUGUCUCUCUCUAUUAAAUAAAUAAAUAAAAUCUUUUUUUUAAAAAAGGGUAUUUUGUCAAGGGGUUAUUCUGCAUCAAUUGAGAUGAUCACGUGGGUUUUCACCUUCGUUCUAUUUUACAUGGAUUAAUUUCCUCAUGUUCAUCCACCCUUGCAUUCUCGCAGUAAAACUCAUUUGAUCUUGGUAUAUAAUCUUUCUUUAAAUAUGCUUGGAUUAUGUUUGCUAGUAUUUUGCUGAGGAUUUUUAUGUGUAUAGUCAGACAAGAUAUUGGCCUGUAGUUUUCUUGUGUUAUUUUUGCCUGGCUUUGGUACCAGGGUAAUGCUGGUCUCAAAGAAUGACAUAGGAUGCUAUGACAGUUAAUCUCAUGUGUGAACAUGGCUAAGCCAUGGCACCUAGAUGUUUGGUCCAACACCAAUCUAAAUGGUGACGUGAAGGUAUUUUUAGAUGAGAUUAACAUUUCAAUCAUUAAAUCAGAUUACUAUCUACAAGACAGGUGAGCUUUAUCCAAUUAGUUGAAGGCCAUAGGAGAAAAACAAUAGAAGUCCCACAAAGAAGAGGGAAUUCUACCUCCACUCUGCCAUAACACUCCAUCUCAUGGAUCUCAAGCAUGCCAGCCUGCCGUGCAGAUUUUGUACUUCUCAGCCUCAACUAUCACACAAACCAAUUUCAUAAAAUAAAUCUCUCCAUUUCUCUAUAUGGCUCAAUUUCUCUGGGGAGCCCUAAUACAGAUGUGUUCCCAAUUUAUUAGAAGAUUUGAGGAUUAGUGCCAAUUACUCUUUAAGUGGUGAAAUUUCCCAGUGAUGACAUCUUGUCCUGGAAUUGUAUGUGAUAGGAGAUUUUUAACUACUUAAUCAAAAUAUGUAACUGCUAAAGGUCUGUUAAGAUCAUCUAUACAUUCUUGAGUCAGCUUUGGGUACCUUGUGUCUUUCUACUAAUUUUACCUUAUUAUUUAAUUGUUGAGUACAGUUGUUCAUAAUACAAUCCAGUCACUCAUCUGAUUUCUCUGACAUAGGCCAUAAAUGUCCCCUUACCUUACAUUUUUAACUUCAGUUAUUUCUAUUUUCUCCAUUCAGUCUAGCUAAAGAUCUAUCAAUUUAAUCUUUUCAAAGAACUGACUUUUAGUUUUCUUCUCCUAUUCUGUAUUUCCUUUAUCCUUGCCUUAAUUAUUUCCUUCUCUCUGCUUUUGCUUUGUGUUAGCUUGCUGAUCUUCUGAUUUCUAAGAUUAAAAAUCAACAGUUAGGUUGUUGAUUUAAAGUCUCCUCUUUUUUUAAAAUACAUGUUCAUACAAUUAUAAUUCCCUCUGAGUACUGCUUUAACUGCAGUAUAUACUGUACAAUUCACUUCUUUAAAGUGAACAAUUCAGUGGUUUUUAGCAUAUUCAGAGUAGUAUACACAUCAGCGAAAAUCAAUUCAGAAAGUACCCCAGCCCCAGACUCAUUACCAGGCUUUCCCAUUUCCCACCAACCCAAUUUUAUCACAAAUGACAUGGACAUUUCAAGCCCUAAACACUGGCUCACAAUGAUGAAGGCCAUUUUCCUUUGGAACUGCCUUGCAAGCUCCAUCUCAGCCGAAGGCUUUUAAAGCUUAUUAAGUAAGCAAGGGAGAGAAACAAAACAAGACCUGCACCCCUACCCCCUACCAAUGGUGUACCCUGACCCAAAGAAUUCAGAGUCCUAUAUCCUUAGGAUCCUUCUCUAUAAAUGGAUCCUCAACUGACCAGCAGGUCAUGUGACAUGCAGGUAAAUGGGCACC